rnacentral:rRNA from 1 species
GAUGAACGUUAGCGGCAGGCCUAACACAUGCAAGUCGAGGGAUAAGCCUUCGGGCUAAGACCGGCGCACGGGUGCGUAACGCGUAUACAAUCUGCCUUUUAUCCGGGGGAUAGCCCGAAGAAAUUUGGAUUAAUACCCUAUGGUAUAAGAGCACGGCAUCGUGCACUUAUUAAAGCUACGGCGGUAAAAGAUGAGUAUGCGUUCUAUUAGCUAGUUGGAGAGGUAACGGCUCCCCAAGGCGACGAUAGAUAGGGGUUCUGAGAGGGAUGUCCCCCACACUGGUACUGAGAUACGGACCAGACUCCUACGGGAGGCAGCAGUGAGGAAUAUUGGACAAUGGUCGGAAGACUGAUCCAGCCAUGCCGCGUGCAGGAUGACGGCCUUAUGGGUUGUAAACUGCUUUUGUAAGGGAAGAAUAAGGAGUACGUGUACUUUGAUGACGGUACCUUACGAAUAAGCAUCGGCUAACUCCGUG